CUCGGCUCGCUGCGCCCGCUGGCCCCGGGGCGCCGCUUCCCCCCGCUGCUGCUUUCCGUUUAUUUCUUAAUUGAAGGUGGCCGAGUCCUGCCCCAACUCCGGGAGGCGGGCGAGCUGCUGGGGAAGGCUGGAUGCUCAGGGCUGGGCGGGGCAGGGGGACGAUGCAAGGAAAUGGAGCUGGCCUCGCCAAGGGCUAGCAGGGCUUAACCGGUCCCCACCAGUAGCAGCCAGGCGAGCCCGGGGGAGGCUGCACCCUCUGUGCCUGGGCUGCUCCCGUCUGGUGGCACGCACGGGUUGCAGAGUGUCAAGCUGAUCAGCAUUCAAGUGGCGAUGAGUGAGCAAAGUGAAGUGAGAGGGGCGCGUGCAACUGGCAGUGGAAGCUGAGGAUGGUGCAUGGGGAGAGAGAGAGAGAUGAGAAGAAGCUGUUUGUGUUGCCUUGGGAUUUUUCCACGUUGAAACCUACCAGGACCAGUUGCUACGGAGCAUGAAGCAGGCGGUGAUGGUUGUGAUGAUGAGGAAAGGCUGUUUCUAAAUGAUCGGGCUGCAGUUCUCUCAGAAUACAAGCAACAAAUGGCAGCGGGCUGUGGCCGGGCUGCAGCAGCAGCAGCUGCAACUCCCAGGUUGUUGCUUUUUUCUCAGUGAGUUAUAUAUUCAUAAGUUUGAACAGAUUAAAAAUACGUUCAAAGAACCCAGCUCUGAGCCAAAUUUGGAUUCCUUCUCAGUUUUCAUCCAUUGUGAUCCUAUUGAGACAACAGUGCUUAUGAUGAAAAGCGAUUAAGUGGAGCAAAGGCUGUAAUGAGAUGAAGCAUACAUUACUCAAGUAUCCAGGAUAAGUAAUAUUUAUCUGUCUUUAUUUUUGGAAAAUGUGCAAAAUUUGUUCCUUGUGUAUUUUUUUUUCAGGUUGAAUCAACUGAGAGUAUGUGACUUUUUACAAGCACUUAAUUGGGACUGUGAAGUGGGCAAAUGAAAUGUAGAAAUUAGAAAUGAAUUAUUUAUUUUUUCAAUUUGUUGUUGUAAAUGCUGGAGAAAGGAUAUGAAAAGCUCUACUGACUAGGAAGUUUACUAUGCUGUGAUUAUGGUUCCAAUUAUGGGUUAUGUAAACGCUGGACUUUAGCUUUGUGCCAUCCAGUUGUAAAAACAAACAAACAAAAAACUGCUCAGAGAGGUAGGUAGCUAGUAGCAAGUGGAAAGUUUUCAUAAGCAUAUGGUCAGAUCUAGAAGUAUGGGAACUCUUACACACAUUUACUCUGACCUUCAGUCCCAGAGAUGAAAAAACUGCUUUAAACUAUUCUACUCUGAAGUCUGUAUGUAGAAGAAUAAAAGAAGACAUUUAAUGCCUUAGUACA
rnacentral:lncRNA from 1 species